rnacentral:rRNA from 1 species
UACGGAGGGUGCAAGCGUUAUCCGGAUUCACUGGGUUUAAAGGGUGCGUAGGUGGGCUAGUAAGUCCGUGGUGAAAUCUCCAAGCUUAACUUGGAAACUGCCGUGGAUACUAUUAGUCUUGAAUAUUGUGGAGGUAAGCGGAAUAUGUCAUGUAGCGGUGAAAUGCUUAGAUAUGAACAUAGAACACCGAUAGCGAAGGCAGCUUGCUACACAAUUAUUGACACUGAGGCACGAAAGCGUGGGGAUCAAACAGG